AUGUGGGUGGGUGGCUUGGGAGGGCUCAGGGGGAAGGGUGGGGGAGGGCUGGCUUUUGAGGGCAGUGGGUUCCCAUGCCCAGCCCCAUGAAGGACGGGGUUCAUGGAAGACCCCAGUAUUGCAAGUCUGUAGCCAGCACGGGGGGCCUGCAUUCCUUCUGCAGGAGAAGCACGAAAGAGCUAUUCUUCUCAAUUCGCCAAGGAGGAAACUGAGGCCCAGCAGGGCAGGAGAGCCCGGGUUACAGCGCAGGCGGGAGGCUGAGCUCAGCCUCAAGUCCCAUCUGCACGCCCAAGGUGCGGCCCCCCUUAGUAGGAGCCGCGACUCAGGGUGAUGCUGUUUCUCGGCCCAGGGGGCAAAAGAGCCCGACCGGAAGCUGCUCUUGGAAGACAGAAGCCCAUGUGCAGGGAAUGUGCCAGUGCCCAGCAGCACUGAAUAUGCGGUUGCUGAAUGAAUGAAUGAAUGCAGGCAUGUGUGAAUGAACAACAGAGGCUGGGUCUUGUAUACUGUGGCUGGCUGUGGCCAUCAGAUCCAAGGAUACAGAAGCUGAGACCCAGGCAGGCCAGCAACUUAAACACCACAACCCCCAACUGGGAGCCUCAGUUUUCUCAUCUGUGAGAUGCCGACAAAGACAUCUGGACUUAGGUCACAGGAUUCUUGUGGGGAUAAAAUGUGAUGGAUGAUCUGAAGGUAUUUUGAAGACUUCCUUCUGCAUAACUGAGGGAGGUCCUGGAAGGUGCCUCCCUAAGGAAGAUAGGAAUAUGGUGGAAGAGAAAUACUUCCCUGAGGCCCCAUGGGAAAAUGUGAAGGACAAAGGUUCCCUUCACAGCAGGAGUGUCCUGGAAGACCUGUCCCAGGCGCCAUGAAUGGCAGCCUAUAUCUGGUCCACACCUGCCUCUAUGAACCCCUUCCUCAAACUCCAACAAAAGGGCAGAAGGGGGAAAGCAAUCCUAUGUCCUUUAACCUUUAAUACUGUCCUGGGACUCCGGGCUCUGGUUUCUUCCGCUGGUCUCUGGAGUUGGUACUCCAGGAACUAAAUUCAUAUCCAUAUGAAAUAUCUUGAUCACUCAAGGGAAUCUACAAUGUUCACUUUCUCUGAAAAUGGGCUAAAUGAAAUCAGUGGCCUGUAAAAUUUCUUUUGGUUUUGAGACUCUUCAAAUUAUAGUUAAGAAGGGAACAUCAGUUUUAAACUUCCUUUGUCUUCUAAAAAAAUUUUAAAAUCAGGUCACUACAUAUCAAUGUACGAUUAUGGGGCACGUUCCAUAAUCUACAAGCAGAUCAUCUCCCACAGCAGAUAAGCCAGGAAAUACUAGGCAGAUACCAGCAAAUCAGGUAUCUCUGGAGUGUCUGGGCUUGUUUGGGGCACACAGAUCCCAGACCAUGGACAACCACCAGUUUCAAGGAAGAAAGUAGAAACACUCAAAGAUUAACAGAGGGAAAUGGAAACAAAUUGCAUUCAACCUGGCCUCUGGCUUUCAAGUCAUUUCUUCUUAUACCUCUGCACAGAAACAAUGAAGUCAUUUCCACCCUUGAACUUGGGAAUGAAGAGAGGCAAAAGUCACAGGCUGGGAACCGCAGCCUGAAUUGGAUGAACUUAUCUUGUGGUUGACUUGUGCAUGUAUGAGUUUCACGCCUGAGAACAGGAUAGGAACUUUUGAAAUGCAGCCCACGCCCUCUGGCCCUCGUGUGUACAGAGCUGCCUUCGUUGGGUGACUCAGGGUAAUGACUGAGCAACAACUGUUGGCUUGAGUGGUGCCAGGGAUGUCCUGGGAGGCUCUCCCUGCCAUGCUGCCUGCCCUGCACCAACAGGCCCCUGCUCCACGGCUGCAGCCUCCAGCCUGUAGCCUCCAGCCUGUCUGGCCAUCUACCGGCAGAUGCUGCUCCCAGGGUCUGCCUCCCACAGCGCGCGCCUCUGAUUCAGCCUUCCAAGCUCACAAAACAAAGUACGUGUAACGGAAGUGUUGUGUGGAACCCAGGAGCUGAUGGUCUCAUCUGGGCCCAGCUGCCUCUUUGCAGACUUUAUGGCCUUCACCUGGGUUUGCAGGAGGCAGAUAGUUUCUGGGUCUGGAUAAGCAAUGGGUCCUGGAACAAAAACUCUAGAGACCGGGGGCUAUUCAAGACAGGCUCCAUUUCUUAUUGAACAUUCAGUUCACCAUCAGGUCUUGUCUAGUCUACCCCCAGAGCAUCCAUUUCUCCAUCACCUUGGCCACCACUACCAUCCCCUGGCUCCUGGCUGGUACCUCCAUGGUCCCACCUUUGGGACUUUGAGUAUGCAAUGUUUUUGAAAGACUCAGUCCCUACCCAUUAUGGGUAGAA